rnacentral:tRNA from 1 species
GGGACGUUAGCUCAGUUGGUAGAGCAGUUGGCUUUUAACCAAUUGGUCGUAGGUUCGAAUCCUACACGUCCCACCA